rnacentral:tRNA from 1 species
CCCUGGUUAGCUUAGUUGGUGAAGCGCUCCCCCUGUAAUGGAGAGGUCCCGGGUUCGAUGCCCGGACCAGGCG